rnacentral:RNase_P_RNA from 1 species
CAAGUAAGACAGGUAAUCGCGGCUGCUGAUUCCGAAAGGAUGCAGGUGAGGAAAGUCCGGGCUUCACAGGGCAGGAUGCCGGAUAACGUCCGGUGGAGGCGACUUCAAGGAUAGUGCAACAGAAAUGAACCGCCAUGUACGGGCGCAGCCUGUAUGUGGUAAGGGUGGAAGGGCAGUGUAAGAGACUACCGCCCUGCUGGUAACAGCGGGGGCAUAUGUAAACCCCAUCCGAAGCAAGACCGGAUAAAGACAAUG